CGAAAUGGCGGCGCGGUGAGCCGGGCUCCGAGGGCCAGCUGCUCAGCCUGGCGGGGGCGGGGCCCCGCUUUGCUUCCGGGUGCGGACACACACGUGGCACAGCGCUCCCGGAUCCUGGCUGCAGUUACAGGGUGUAACGCGGUCUGCGUCUGAGUAAGGGGCUAAAGCUGCACGUUAUCCGCAGCAGUAUGUCCAUGAACUCUGUUUGGCCUGUCAGGUGAGAGUAAGACUUGGAAAAAUGGUCUGUAUCCCAUAUUCCCUGCAAGGCUGCUACCACCCUGGUCCCAGGAAGGCUGCUGAGCAGAAAUGGGGCGUUAAAGAAGCACUGGGAGACUCCACUACUGUUUGCUGUAAUGAAGGAGCAGUGAUGAAAAUGCACAUGGGAGAGUUCUGUUAGAACAAAUCAUGGGACAAGGCCAGCAAAUUUUUCUGUGUGAAUGUGGAGUAUGCUUCGUGAUGUUGUUUCAUUUUUAUAUGGAGUCUUCUGUUGGAAUGACAGGCCUGCUUACUAUGAGCUAUCAUUCUUUACUCUUUAACCUUUCUAUGGCUGCCCAAGAUUAAUUAAAAUAAAUAACCAUGCUACGCAUUUUUUACUAGAAGA
rnacentral:lncRNA from 1 species